rnacentral:rRNA from 1 species
AACGAACGCUGGCGGCAUGCCUAACACAUGCAAGUCGAACGAGACCUUCGGGUCUAGUGGCGCACGGGUGCGUAACGCGUGGGAACCUGCCCUUAGGUUCGGAAUAACUCCCCGAAAGGGGUGCUAAUACCGGAUAAUGUCUUCGGACCAAAGAUUUAUCGCCUUUGGAUGGGCCCGCGUUGGAUUAGCUAGUUGGUAGGGUAAAAGCCCACCAAGGCGACGAUCCAUAGCUGGUCUGAGAGGAUGAUCAGCCACACUGGGACUGAGACACGGCCCAGACUCCUACGGGAGGCAGCAGUGGGAAAUAUUGGACAAUGGGCGAAAGCCUGAUCCAGCAAUGCCGCGUGAGUGAUGAAGGCCUUAGGGUUGUAAAGCUCUUUUACCCGGGAUGAUAAUGACAGUACCGGGAGAAUAAGCUCCGGCUAACUCCGUG